rnacentral:tRNA from 1 species
GGCUGGAGAGAUGGCUCAGUGGUUAAGAGCACUGACUGCUCUUCCAGGGGUCCUGAAUUCAAUUCCCAGCAGCCA